GACGAACGCUGGCGGCGUGCUUAACACAUGCAAGUCGAACGGAAAGGCCCUGCUUUUGUGGGGUGCUCGAGUGGCGAACGGGUGAGUAACACGUGAGUAACCUGCCCUUGACUUUGGGAUAACUUCAGGAAACUGGGGCUAAUACCGGAUAGGAGCUCCUGCUGCAUGGUGGGGGUUGGAAAGUUUCGGCGGUUGGGGAUGGACUCGCGGAUUAUCAGCUUGUUGGUGGGGUAGUGGCUUACCAAGGCUUUGACGGGUAGCCGGCCUGAGAGGGUGACCGGCCACAUUGGGAAUGAGAUACGGCCAAGACUCCUACGGGAGGCAGCAGUGGGGAAUAUUGCACAAUGGGCGGAAGCCUGAUGCGACGACGCCGCGUGCGGGAUGACGGCCUUCGGGUUGUAAACCGCUUUCGCCUGUGACGCAGCGUGAGUGACGGUAAUGGGUAAAGAAGCACCGGCUAACUACGUG
rnacentral:rRNA from 1 species